ensembl:misc_RNA Y_RNA Y RNA
AGCUGGUCCAAGGGCAGCGGUGUUUACAACUAACUGAUCACAACCAGUUACAGAUUUCUUUGUUCCUUUUCCAUUCCCUCUGCUUCACCUGACGAGCCUAAA